UACGAAGGGGGCUAGCGUUGCUCGGAAUCACUGGGCGUAAAGGGUGCGUAGGCGGGUUUUUAAGUCAGGGGUGAAAUCCUGGAGCUCAACUCCAGAACUGCCUUUGAUACUGAAGAUCUUGAGUCCGGGAGAGGUGAGUGGAACUGCGAGUGUAGAGGUGAAAUUCGUAGCUAUUCGCAAGAACACCAGUGGCGAAGGCGGCUCACUGGCCCGGUACUGACGCUGAGGCACGAAAGCGUGGGGAGCAAACAGGG
rnacentral:rRNA from 1 species